rnacentral:lncRNA from 1 species
GGGGGGGGUCGGGCCGCGCUCCCGCGGCAGCGCCGGGGCCCAGCGGCCGGCCGGCGGCUGUCAGCGGAGCGGGACGAGGCCGGGCUCCACCAUUCGAGCCCCGGGCGGGCAGCGGCGGCGGCAGGAGGAGGAGGAGGAGGAGGAGGAGGAGGAAACAACAACUCGCGGCCGCCCGCGCCGCCAGCAGCCAGCCACACGCGCGAUCCCUCCGCCCGGAGAAAGAGUCCCUCCUCCUCCUCCUCCUCCUCCCUCCGCGCCCCCCACCUCAGCCCCGCCGGCCCCUGGCGCCGCGCCGCCCCUCCCCCGAGCCCCCGGCCCCCGUGAAGAAGAUGGAGGAGGAGGAGGGAGGAGGAGGAGGAAGGAAGGGGGGGGGGGGGGUGUCGCUCCUCCUGCCCUCGUAGGAUGAGGGGAGAGGAAGGAGGGAGGGAGCCGCGUGCUGUGGCGCUGCUCGCUGUCCUCGCCUCGCCCGGGAGCGGAGCCGCCGGACCAGCGGAGGUAACGCGGGGCUGGCCCCGGGGGGGCCCCAAAACGCGGCCCCCGGGCGUGCUGAGAGCCCCUUCGGGCCCGGGAAGGGGGAAACAAAGCGCAGCCCGCUGCUGGUUAGGUGAAAAUGGGGGAAAAUCUGUAAAAAUAGGGGGUGAGGAGCGCGGCGGGCCGCCCGCCUCAUGGCUCGCCGCGAGCCCGGGCGCUCUCGGGUCGAGCCGCGGCCUUGCGAGGAGGAGCGGCUUUCGGGGCAAAAAGCGGCGAUUUUAGCAAAAAAACGUGUCCGGCUUUCACACAGGGGGCUGGUAGGGAGGGUAACCGGCCGGGCCAGGAGAGCCUGAGGUGGCACGGGAACCAGGCAGACAUACAGCGGGCGCAACGAGCCCUCGGGCCUCCCCGCUGUAAUUUGGGGCCAAAUCGGGUUGAAUCCGUGUUUUCUGGGCCCGCAGCUUUGUGCUGGGCACCCAGCUGGCCGCAGCCGCCCCUCUGCCUCCCUGCGCGGACAGAGGAGGGCAGGGAGAGGAGCUAAAACCUCGCCGCUUUCCCUCGCUUCUUCCCAGUCACCUCACAAAGAGGGAUUAACAACUGGGUUUAUACAGCAGGAGCCCAGCUCCCGUGCCUUUUGGUGUACAAUCAUCAAAUACCCUAAAAAAAAAAAAACCCAAACCUUAAAAUCCUACUCUAGUGCGGUCUAUAAUCGAGGGUAGAAGCGCUCCCCGGCGCAGAUCUCCCUGAAGCAGCAGCACCCGAUGUGCUGUGCCCGAUGGGUUCAUCUCCAGCUUCCCUCGCUUUUAAAUUACAAAAUGUCUGGAUGUCUCCCUUUCCCCGGCUUUUGCAACAAUAACCAUGCUCUGCCUCGGCUUUACCACAGACAAACACUUGAAAUAAGUGAGAUGGCAAUGAAAUCAUUUACCGCCUAAUAAAGAUUAAAAAAAAAUAAAGCGACUGGAGUCU